rnacentral:rRNA from 1 species
UACGUAGGCAGCGAGCGUUGUUCGGAAUUACUGGGCGUAAAGAGUGUGUAGGCGGUGCUCUAAGUUCGGUGUGAAAUCUCCGGGCUUAACUUGGAGGGUGCGCCGGAAACUGGAGUGCUUGAGCGUGGGAGAGGAAAGCGGAAUUCCUGGUGUAGCGGUGAAAUGCGUAGAUAUCAGGAGGAACACCUGUGGUGUAGACGGCUUUCUGGACCAUUGCUGACGCUGAGACACGAAAGCGUGGGUAGCAAACAGG